rnacentral:rRNA from 1 species
GACGAACGCUGGCGGCGUGCUUAACACAUGCAAGUCGAACGGAAAGGCCCUGCUUUUGUGGGGUGCUCGAGUGGCGAACGGGUGAGUAACACGUGAGUAACCUGCCCUUGACUUUGGGAUAACUUCAGGAAACUGGGGCUAAUACCGGAUAGGAGCUCCUGCUGCAUGGUGGGGGUUGGAUAGUUUCGGCGGUUGGGGAUGGACUCGCGGCUUAUCAGCUUGUUGGUGGGGUAGUGGCUUACCAAGGCUUUGACGGGUAGCCGGCCUGAGAGGGUGACCGGCCACAUUGGGACUGAGAUACGGCCCAGACUCCUACGGGAGGCAGAAGUGGGGAAUAUUGCACAAUGGGCGGAAGGCUGAUGCAGCAACGCCGCGUGCGGGAUGACGGCCUUCGGGUUGUAAACCGCUGUCGCCUGUGACGAAGCGUGAGUGACGGUAAUGGGUAAAGAAGCACCGGCUAACUACGUG